CAUCUGCUCCCUCCGUCCAACAAAAGAUGUCUCAAGUUUGUUAAAAUUUGGAUGUAUUUAGACAUGACUUAGUAUAUAGAUGCAUUCAAAUUUGGUCAAAAUUGAGACAUCCUUUGUUGGACGGAGGGAGUAUAAG
rnacentral:pre_miRNA from 1 species